GUGAGCUGAGCUUCAUGCCUCUGUAACAGUGGCAGGUGUGUGGGGGGGAGGUAUUCUCUGCAGGGUGUGAGCUGAGCUUCAUGCCUCUGUAACAGUGGCAGUGUGUGGGGGGGGAGGUAUUCUCUGCAGGGUGUGAGCUGAGCUUCAUGCCUCUGUAACAGUGGCAGUGUGUGGGGGGGGAGGUAUUCUCUGCAGGGUGUGAGCUGAGCUUCAUGCCUCUGUAACAGUGGCAGUGUGUCUGAGAAACGUCUCCUUUAUGUGGCCUCUGCUCCAGGACAGGGGCUGGCUCGGGGGCGGCGUUAGCUCACAAGGUAGUGCGGUCGUCUGGCAACUGCAAGGUUAUGAAUGCGUCGGCUGUGAAGAGGUUGUGAAUGGGCCUACUGAACGUGUCGAAGUGUUCACAGCGAAUGCAAGACACCUAACUCCCCAUCGCUCCCAUGAUUACCGUUUGUGUGUGUGUGUGUGUGUGAGAAUGGGUGGCUGAGAGGGUGUGUGUGGGUGUGUGUGUGUGUGAAUGGGUGACUGAGAGGGUGUGUGUGUGUGUGUGUGAGAAUGGGUGACUGAGAGGGUGUGUGUGUGUGAAUGGGUGAAUGAGAGACAUUCAUUGUAAAGCACUUUGUGAGGUUGUUGCUGGAAAAUGCGCUAUAUAAAUGCAGUCCAUUUAGCAUUUAGCAUUUCCGCUGUGGGGGAAAACUCAUUAUGAAAUGAACAGCAGGCAGUAGCCCAAAGCAGGAUGGGGGCCCCCCACGGCUGGCUCGCCGGCGUGCGACGCGGCUGACUGAACCGGCCGGAUUUUACUGCCUCGCUCUGAAUGGCGUCGGGCGCUGACGUGGGAACCGCUUCUGCGUUUGAUACUUUCGAUUUUACAGCUUUCGGGAGCUGCCCCUGGUCCAGGGCUGUGCGGCGCGACGAUUUUGACGCAUGUGCGCCAUUUUAAACGCGCAAGUAUUUAAAAAAAAAAAAAAUUCCAUUCAGCUUAGUUUUGUCUUUAUGAAUGUCAUGUCUGCAGGGUUCGAAGUUCGUGAUUUUUCUUCUCGCGCUGGCAGUUGCCUGCAUUAUGGCAAAUGCAUUUCAAGUAGUCAUUAUCAUUCUACAGCGCGCCCUGGACAUUGUGGGAGAGACCAGCUUUCGAGCAGCAGCGCCAAGCCAGUCAGCUGGCAAGAGUCUGGAACGCAGAGUGUUUAUGUGGUGCAGUCAGUACUAAUGCAGCAACAUAACUGGAUGCACUGAAAUGCAAGAUGCAGUGAGGCAGUAUAAACUGUGGGUAAAAUGUUUUAAUAUGCAUUGUAUUCAGUGUGGUUUACAUGCAGGUUCCCUGCUUUCGUACAUUGUGGUUUCACCAUGUGGAAAUGACGGGACUUUUUAUUCAUAGCCCCUCCAUUUCAGGGCAUGUAGGUUUUCAGUGCCGUUGGGGGGUCGUGGUGCAGUGGUGAAAGGGUGAGAGUGGUGUUGUGAUUUAGUAUGACCGUAUGCGUGGGUGACUGUGGUGAGUGAUGAUGUGAUUUGGUAUGACCGUAUGCAGUGGUAACAGUGAUAGUGAUGUUGUGAUUUGGUAUGACCGUAUGCAGUGGUAACAGUGAUAAGUGAUGCUGUGAUUUGGUAUGACCGUAUGCAGUGGUGACAGUGUGAGAGUGAUGCUGUGAUUUGGUAUGACCGUAUGCAGUGGUGACUGUGGUGAGUGAUGAUGUGAUUUGGUAUGACCGUAUGCAGUGGUGACAGAGUGAGAGUGAUGAUGUGAUUUGGUAUGACCGUAUGCAGUGGUGACAGAGUGGAGAGCGAUGUUGAGAUUUGGUAUGACCUCAUACAGUGGUGACGGUGUGCAGGGUAAUGCUGUGAUUGGCUGUAAGUCUGGCUUGUCUCGGCCUGCUCUCCAGGUCAUUUGUCAGGCAAAUCUGACCCGCUCAUGCAGAUUUCCCUGCAGCCCCGAUGCAAAUCUGCAUCCUGCGCAGGUGCUCCGGCUGCAGCUCUCCCUCUUCGCUACUGGUUCAGCACCCCCCACACCCCCGCACCCUUGUGCCACCCUCUUCUCUGCAUGAGAGCUUCGCCCUCUCCUUUCAUCUCGAAAAGCGCUCAGUGGAAUCCCUCCCCUGGUUUUCAGUGCCCAAUUUCAGGGUGCUUUAUUGCCGUGACAUGUACUGUGUUCACAAAGCAGAACAGCAGAACAACGAUAGUAACAAAGAACAUUAAACUCUACAACCUGUAAAGCAA